GUUGCUUCAUUGAAAUACGUUUUAUGGCCAUUUUGAUAGCUGGCCAUUUCAAUCAAGAAGCAUAAAUCAACAAUUUGGACCAGUUUUUAACAGCAUGAUGCCUUUUUUUGUUGCAUUGUGUUACCUGUCUGCUGGUAUAUGC